UACGUAGGAGACGAGCGUUGUCCGGAAUUACUGGGCGUAAAGCGCGUGUAGGCGGAUGAGCAAGUCUGCUGUGAAAGCUCCUGGCUUAACCGGGAGUGGUCGGUGGAAACUGCUCGUCUGGAGGACGGUAGAGGUAGGUAGAAUUCCCGGUGUAGUGGUGAAAUGCGUAGAGAUCGGGAGGAAUACCUGUGGCGAAGGCGGCCUACUGGGCCGGACCUGACGCUGAGGCACGAAGGUCAGGGAGCGAAACGGG
rnacentral:rRNA from 1 species